GCAAGUAUAAUUUAACCCAAAUAUUAGACUGUGAUCCUAAAAAUAGAAGUCAGACCCUUCUUACCUGCC
rnacentral:tRNA from 1 species